GAUGAACGCUAGCUACAGGCUUAACACAUGCAAGUCGAGGGACCGGCGCACGGGUGAGUAACACGUAUCCAACCUGCCCUUUACUCGGGGAUAGCCUUUCGAAAGAAAGAUUAAUACCCGAUAUAAAGGGUGGGGAUGCGUUCCAUUAGGUUGUUGGUGAGGUAACGGCCCACCAAGCCUUCGAUGGAUCGGGGUUCUGAGCUGAAGGUGCCAGUCAUGUGAACUUAGACCCUGUCCAAACUCCUACGGGAGGCAGCAGGGAGGAAUAUUGGUCAAUGGGCGCUAGCCUGAACCAGCCAAGUAGCGUGAAGGAUGAAGGCUUAUGGGUCGUAAACUUCUUUUAUACAAGAAUAUGUAUUAUAUGAAUAAGGAUCGGCUAACUCCGUGCCAGCAGCCGCGGUAAUUC
rnacentral:rRNA from 1 species